rnacentral:rRNA from 1 species
GACGAACGCUGGCGGCGUGCUUAACACAUGCAAGUCGAACGGAAAGGCCCUGCUUUUGUGGGGUGCUCGAGUGGCGAACGGGUGAGUAACACGUGAGUAACCUGCCCUUGACUUUGGGAUAACUUCAGGAAACUGGGGCUAAUACCGGAUAGGAGCUCCUGCCGCAUGGUGGGGGUUGGAAAGUUUCGGCGGUUGGGGAUGGACUCGCGGCUUAUCAGCUUGUUGGUGGGGUAGUGGCUUACCAAGGCUUUGACGGGUAGCCGGCCUGAGAGGGUGACCGGCCACAUUGGGACUGAGAUACGGCCCAGACUCCUACGGGAGGCAGCAGUGGGGAAUAUUGCACAAUGGGCGGAAGCCUGAUGCAGCAACGCCGCGUGCGGGAUGACGGCCUUCGGGUUGUAAACCGCUUUCGCCUGUGACGAAGCGUGAGUGACGGUAAUGGGUAAAGAAGCACCGGCUAACUACGUGCCAGCAGCCGCGGUGAUACGUAGGGUGCGAGCGUUGUCCGGAUUUAUUGGGCGUAAAGGGCUCGUAGGUGGUUGAUCGCGUCGGAAGUGUAAUCUUGGGGCUUAACCCUGAGCGUGCUUUCGAUACGGGUUGACUUGAGGAAGGUAGGGGAGAAUGGAAUUCCUGGUGGAGCGGUGGAAUGCGCAGAUAUCAGGAGGAACACCAGUGGCGGAGGGCGGGUCUCUGGCCCUUUCCUGACGCUGAGGAGCGAAAGCGUGGGGAGCGAACAGGCUUAGAUACCCUGGUAGUCCACGCUGUAAACGGUGGGUACUAGGUGUGGGGUCCAUUCCACGGGUUCCGUGCCGUAGCUAACGCUUUAAGUACCCCGCCUGGGGAGUACGGCCGCAAGGCUAAAACUCAAAGGAAUUGACGGGGCCCCGCACAAGCGGCGGAGCAUGCGGAUUAAUUCGAUGCAACGCGUAGAACCUUACCUGGGUUUGACAUGGAUCGGGAGUGCUCAGAGAUGGGUGUGCCUCUUUUGGGGUCGGUUCACAGGUGGUGCAUGGCUGUCGUCAGCUCGUGUCGUGAGAUGUUGGGUUAAGUCCCGCAACGAGCGCAACCCUUGUUCACUGUUGCCAGCACGUUAUGGUGGGGACUCAGUGGAGACCGCCGGGGUCAACUCGGAGGAAGGUGGGGAUGACGUCAAGUCAUCAUGCCCCUUAUGUCCAGGGCUUCACGCAUGCUACAAUGGCUGGUACAGAGAGUGGCGAGCCUGUGAGGGUGAGCGAAUCUCGGAAAGCCGGUCUCAGUUCGGAUUGGGGUCUGCAACUCGACCUCAUGAAGUCGGAGUCGCUAGUAAUCGCAGAUCAGCAACGCUGCGGUGAAUACGUUCCCGGG